rnacentral:rRNA from 1 species
CAAGUCGAACGGGGUAGCAAUACCUAGUGGCGAACGGUCGCGUAACACGUGGGCAACCUGCCCCAGAGCGGGGGAUAACACUCCGAAAGGAAUGCUAAUACCGCAUGUGGCGGCUCUCUGCAUGGAGAGUUGGCUAAAGAUUUAUCACUCUGGGAUGGGCCCGCGGCCUAUCAGCUAGUUGGUGGGGUAACGGCCUACCAAGGCUUCGACGGGUAGCUGGUCUGAGAGGACGAUCAGCCGGACUGGGACUGAGAUACGGCCCAGACUCCUACGGGGGGCAGCAAUUAGGAAUCUUGCACAAUGGGCGAAAGCCUGAUGCAGCGACGUCGCGUGGAGGAUGAAAUCUUUCGGGAUGUAAACUCCUUUUGUGAGGGAAGAAACAAAUGACGGUACCUCACGAAUAAGCCCCGGCUAACUACGUGCCAGCAGCCGCGGUAAUACGUAGGGGGCGAGCGUUGUCCGAAGUUACUGGGCGUAAAGCGCGCGUAGGCGGGCUCUUAAGUGAGGGGUGAAAGGUUCGGGCUCAACCCGAACACUGCCUUUCAUACUGGGGGCCUUGAGUGCGGGAGAGGCGAGUGGAAUGGUCGGUGUAGCGGUGAAAUGCGUAGAUAUCGAUCGGAACACCCAUGGCGAAGGCAGCUCGCUGGCCUGCAACUGACGCUGAGGCGCGAAAGCGUGGGGAGCAAACAGGAUUAGAUACCCUGGUAGUCCACGCCGUAAACGAUGAGUGCUAGGUGUCAGGGGUAUCGACCCCCCUGGUGCCGCAGCUAACGCAAUAAGCACUCCGCCUGGGGAGUACGGCCGCAAGGUUGAAACUCAAAGGAAUUGACGGGGGCCCGCACAAGCGGUGGAGCAUGUGCAUUAAUUC